GGAGAGAUGGCUCAGUGGUUAAGAGCACUGACUGCUCUUCCAGAGGUCCUGAGUUCAAAUCCCAGCAACCCCG
rnacentral:tRNA from 1 species